GGUGAAGCUCCACGAGCUGCUCGUCACCCACCGGGGCGCCGCUGAGGUGGCCCUGGCGCUGGUGGGCACCCAGGGUGAGCCGGGGGGGGACCCCCAUGGGGCCGGCGUGGGGAGGGGACAACCCCCCCUCACCGCUGCUCCCCACAGACAAGAUCAGCUCCUCCAGCCCGCGCGUGGUGGAGGACGCCCGGGCCCGCGCGCUCUGCGGGGACAUGAAGCGCUGCCUCUACUACGAGACCUGCGCCACCUACGGCCUCAAUGUGGACAGGGUCUUCACCGAGGUGGCGCAGAAGGUGGUGGCGCUGAGGAAGCAGCAGCAGCUCGUGGCCUCCUGCAAGUCCCUGCCCAGCUCCCCCAGCCACUCGGCCGCCUCCACCCCGGUCGGGGGCUCCCACCCUGGCCAGGUACCCCCCGUCACCCACCCCCGGCCACGGGGCUCCGGUGGCGGCUCUGACCCCGCCAUGCCCCCAGACCAGCAACGGCCACACCAGCGACUACUCGUCCUCGCUGCCGUCCACCCCCAACGUCACCCACCGGGACCUGCGCAGCGACACCCCCGUGGCCCCAGGGACCCCAAGCUCCCUGCACCGUGGGGCCAAGCGCCGCACCAGCCUCUUCGCCACGCGCCGCGGCAGUGACUCGGACAAGCGGAGCCUGGAGGGCCCCGGCACCGCCCGCUCCGUGCCCAUCCCCAUCAAGCAGAGCUUCCUGCUGAAGCGCAGCGGCAACUCCCUCAACAAGGAGUGGAAGAAGAAAUACGUGACCCUGAGCAGCAACGGGCUCCUGCUCUACCACCCGAGCGUGAACGAUUACCUGCACAGCACCCAUGGGAAGGAGAUGGAUUUGCUCCGCACCACGGUCAAGGUCCCGGGGAAGCGGCCCCCCCGCGCGAUCUCCGCCUGCGGCCCCGCCCCCAGCGCCAACGGGCUCCUGCGGGACGAUGGGGGUGCCGUGGGGCUCAGCCUCCCCCCGGAGCCGGGGCUGAAGGUGCCGGGUAAAGCCGAGCGGUCGCUGCAGCGCUGCGCCUCCGCCUCCAGCGCCAGAGUCACCUCCGAUGCCCCCUUCGAAGCCAUCUCCAGCCCCGGCAGCACGGGCCGGGACCCGCCACCGUCACCGCUCAUGGACAGGAAGAAGCACCGGCGGAAGAAGCUGAUGACACCGUCCAAGACGGAGGGUUCUGCCGGGCAGGCAGAAGCCAAGCGCAAAAUGUGGAAGCUAAAAAGCUUUGGUAGUUUAAGAAAUCUGUAUAAAACAGAAGAGGAGAACUUCGAGUUCCUCAUCGUGUCCAGCACGGGGCAGACGUGGCACUUCGAGGCGAGCAGCUUUGAGGAGCGCGACGCCUGGGUGCAGGCCAUCGAGAGCCAGAUCCUGGCCAGCCUCCAGUGCUGCGAGAGCAGCAAGAACAAGCAAACCCACCCCCGAGGCCUCCCGGGAGGAGCGAGAGGCCUGGAUCCGGGCUAAGUACGAGCAGAAGCUGUUCCUGGCACCGCUGCCGGAGGCCGAGGGGCCGCUGGGGGAGCAGCUCCUCCGAGCCGUGCAGGACAAGGACCUGGAGCUGGUGCUGCUGCUCCUGGCCCACAGCAAGAAGGAGCAGCUCAACGUCCGCGCUGGGGACGGGGAUGGGCGCCCGGCGCUGCAUGUGGCCUGUGACAUGGGGCUCGUAGUCAUCACGCAGCUGCUGCUGUGGCACGGAGCCGACGUGCGGGCGCGGGACGGCCGCGGGCACACGGCGCUGUUCUAUGCGCGCCGCGCCGGCAGCCGGGAGUGCGCCGACAUCCUGCUGCAGCACGGCUGCCCCGGCGAGGGGUUCGCCGACAGCGCCGACAGCGCCGACAGCGCCCCCGGCCCCCGCCGCAGGAGCAGCUGCGGGCCCUGCGAGCCGCACACCGCGCUCGUGUAGCCACGGCCCCCCCCGGGCUUGCGGGUGAUGCCACCAGCCCCUGGUGUCACCCGCCCCCCAACCCCGGUGCCACCGGCCCCGGUUCGCGGUCCCGAGGCUCUAUUUAUUACCCGGCUCCUGCUGGGAGCUCUCCGGGUCUCCCGGUCCUGUCCCUCUGCCCGUGCCAGGUCCCAGCACCCAGCGCUGGUGGCGCCGUGGUCACCCCCCUGUAUAUCGGUGUGGGGCACCGAUGGGGACAGCGCUGGUCGUGUCACACUGCCCAUGUCACCCCAUUCAUGUCAUCCUGCCUAUGGCACCCCACUGACAUGGGUGUCCCCCCCCAUGGGUCCCCACCUCUCCCCAUGGGUCCCCCACCCCGAGUCCCCGCCCCUGGCACCGGCACCGCGACAGGAACAGCCCCGACCCCAUUUUCUACAGACCCUUUUGUACAACCCCCCCCCAAACUGUGCCCUGACCCCCCCUGAACCUGUGACAACCCCCCCGAACCCCCCUUUUGUCACCAUCCCCUUGGGAUCCUCGUUAAUUUAUUGCUUCGUUUCACCGUUGGACGGUGGUGGGGGCACACAUGGGCCUGGGGGGGGCCCAUCCCAUGCCCCCCACCCCUGGGACCCCCCCAUGAAUGUAGGGGUGCCCCUCGCUGUGACGCCCUGGCAGCGCCGGUGGGACUGAGCCAGGGCCCCGGGGCUUGGGGGGAUCAGGGGCGUCGUGGCAUGUCACAGCGUGUCAUGGUGUGUCAUGGCGUGCUUUGGCGUGCCUUGGCGUGCCGUGGCGUGUUGUGGCAUGUCAUGGCGUGUCAUGCCAUGCCGUGGCGUGUCAUGGCGUGUACAGCGGUUUCGGGUUGUAACUGUAAGUACGUAA
rnacentral:lncRNA from 1 species